UCUGUCCUCUCCAUUAGCAAGGGGUAUUUGUAGGUUUGGCUUCCACUAUGUGGUUCCAGUGAUGGAAUGGCCAUCUAAGUCCGCCAACAAAAUGAGCAGAAGAGAAAGCAUAGAUUAAAAUGCUGAGAUUUCCAACUUGCUGCCUUUUUCCCAAGUUCUUGUUCUCGCUAAAGAUCUCAGAGUUUUGUCUUACGUGAUUAAUAAGUCAUGCCAGACACCAGAUUCAACUGAGUAAUAGCCGUUAAAGGGACACUUGGGAGAAAGAAGAGAAGCGUUCACAAAGCUCACCCUCUCUUCAUUUCCCUCAUUUUCCUUACAAGUCACAAAAUCCCCAUAUUUCCAACUCAAACCUCCUCCGGCAACUGAAACUUCUAAUUCCGGCUGUGUGCUUAAAUUCACCAUAAGAAACAGCAAGUUUUCUGACGAGAUUCCGAUAUGGAGCUGUGAGUCCAAUCGGGAAAACGAAAAUCACCUCAGAUUCAGAAAAGAAGAGAACACCGAACUGCGUCUAUAAAUGAAUAGAGAAAUCAACUCUCUUUCUCUCUCCUCAUUUUCUAUGAUUCUUCUAUCCUCUCCUUGGACCUUUUUGAUCACCUUUAGAUCCAUAAGGAUAGAACCAAAACCAGUUUCAUUCUCAUUAGGGUCCAAAAUAGAGCAUCCAUGAACACAGUCCGGUUAACAACUCCUGCUUCAUUUAAACCAAUGGGUGACUCCAGCUGUUUUAUCAAUUACAAGAGGCCAGGCUCCAUUUCUGGGAUCUUCACUCGUAGAAGGAACCUCAAGUGUGGGAGCCAAAACAGAGACUCGGAGGGAAACACUCAUGCACAUAAUGGGGAGAAAGAAACAGAGAAUACAAUGGAAUGAAGCUUUAAAAAAAAAAGAUAAAUAAAG
rnacentral:lncRNA from 1 species